rnacentral:rRNA from 1 species
CACAAGACUGAAUCUGGAUCACCAUCUAGUGGCAGACGGGUGAGUAACACGUGGGUGACCUACCUUUUCGUUGGGGAUAACAGUUGGAAACGAUUGCUAAUACCGAAUAAAAUGUAAGAGUCAAUUUUACAUUGAAAGGAGCCUUUAAAGCUUCGCGAUUAGAUGGGCCUGCGGCGUAUUAACUAGUUGGUGAGGUAAUGGCUUACCAAGGUGACGAUGCGUAGCCGAACUGAGAGGUUGAUCGGCCACAUUGGGACUGAGAUACGGCCCAGACUCC